rnacentral:rRNA from 1 species
UUUUACCCAGUCUAGAACGCUGGGGGAAUAAGGAGAGGGCAAGUCUGGUGUCAGCCGCCGCGGUAAUACCAGCUCUCCGAGUGGUGUGGAUGUUUAUUGGGCCUAAAGCAUCCGUAGCUGGCUAAGUUAGUCCCCUGUUAAAUCCACCGAAUUAAUCGUUGGAUCGCGGGGGAUACUGCUUGGCUAGGGGACGAGAGAGGCAGACGGUAUUUUCGGGGUAGGGGUGAAAUCCUAUAAUCCCGGGAAGACCACCAGUGGCGAAGGCUGUCUGCUAGAACGCGCCCGACGGUGAGGGAUGAAAGCUGGGGGAGCGAACCGGAUUAGAUACCCGGGUAGUCCCAGCUGUAAACGAUGCAGACUAGGUGUUUGGACGGCCACGUGCCGUUCUAGUGCCGCAGGGAAGCUGUUAAGUCUGCCGCCUGGGGAGUACGAUCGCAAGAUUGAAACUUAAAGGAAUUGGCGGGGGAGCACCACAAGGGGUGAAGCUUGCGGUUUAAUUGGAUUCAACGCCGGAUA